UAUAUAUUAACAUAAACUUUGGAACAUGAAACAUAUAAAUAAAAGUUAUAAUCCUCUUUUGCAACCCAGAGCUCAUUGUUCAGUAUGAGUUUUGAUACAGAUAAGAAGGAACAUG